rnacentral:rRNA from 1 species
UACGAAGGGGGCUAGCGUUGUUCGGAAUUACUGGGCGUAAAGCGUGCGCAGGCGGCUAUCCAAGUCAGUGGUGAAAGCCCGGAGCUCAACUCCGGAACUGCCAUUGAAACUGUUUAGCUUGAGGAUGGGAGAGGUGAGUGGAAUUCCCAGUGUAGAGGUGAAAUUCGUAGAUAUUGGGAAGAACACCGGUGGCGAAGGCGGCUCACUGGCUCAUUACUGACGCUCAGGCGCGAUAGCGUGGGGAUCAAACAGG